AUGGAGACGCGAGCGCCGCACCUCGAGGGCCGAUCCUGCCACCAUAAGCAGGUGCACGCUCACCUCCUCCGCCGCGGCCACCCCUUCCCGCAGGCGGACUACGCCGAACCUGACCGCGCCUACCUCUCCGUUCUGCGCGCCGCCACCGUCACGCCAGUCCUCGCGCUCGCCGCUUGCGCGUGCCUCCACCGCGCCGGCCUGCCAGCGCCGGGGCGCCACGCGCUCCCUGCCCUGCUCCGCGCCGCCGCCCGCGCGCGCUGCGCGGACUCUGUGGGGCAGGCGCAUGCCCUCGCCGUACGGGUCGGGGCCGAGGAUGAUGGGUUCAUCGGGACCGCGCUGGUUGGCGCGUACGCGGCGUGCCGGCGCGUGGCCGACGCCCGCAGGAUGUUCGAAGUAAUGCCGGAUCGGGAUCUCGUCGCCUGGGGCGUCAUGCUUGACAGUUAUUGUCAGACCCGAGACUACAGAGAAGCAUUGCUUCUACUCAAUAAGCUGAAGAGAUCAAGAAUUGUGCCUGACCAAGUCAUCCUUGCUACCAUUCUAUCAGCUUGUGGUCUUACACGGCAUUUAAGAUCCGGAAAAGCCAUCCACUCAUACAUACUGGUCUCGGACAUUUUUAUUGAUGCCCGCCUAAGUAGUGCCCUCUUAAACAUGUAUGCUACUUGUGCGGAUAUGGAGAUGGCCAAGAAGCUAUACAGCAGGAUGCAAAGGAAAGACUUGAUAUCAUCAACUGUCAUGGUCUGUGGAUAUGCUAAGAAUGGAAAAAUCAAGAUUGCUCGCUCCAUAUUCAACUGUAUGAUGGAGAAGGAUGUGGUAUCUUGGAGUGCUAUGAUAUCAGGAUAUGCUGAAAAUAACCAACCAAGUGAAGCGUUGAUUUUGUUCAAAGAUAUGCAAGAGUGUGGUGUCUGUCCUGAUGAAAUUACCCUAUUGAGCGUCAUAUCUGCAUGUGCUAAUAUAUGUUCCCUUGACAAAGCUAGAUGGAUCCAUUCGUUUGUUGUGAAUAAUGGGUUUUGUAAGAUAUUGUCCAUUUGCAAUGCUCUUAUUAAUAUGUUCUCAAAAUGUGGAAGUUUGACUCUUGCCUUGAACGUGUUCAAUGCAAUGCCUCGAAAGAAUGUUAUCACCUGGACAAGUAUGAUUUCUGCCUUUGCUAUGCAUGGUGAUGGCAAAUCUGCCUUAGCCCUUUUUGACAAGAUGAAAAGUGAAGGGGUUGAACCCAAUGGCGUGACAUUUCUUGGUUUGUUGUUUGCCUGUUGUCAUGCUGGUUUAGUUGAUGAAGGCCGUUCCUUGUUUGAAUGCAUGGUCCAGGAAUACAGGAUUGAACCCAAGCACGAGCAUUAUGGCUGUAUGGUGGAUCUUAUGGGAAAGGCUAAACUUCUGCAGGAAGCAGUUGAUCUCAUAAAGUCAAUGCAUGUAAGACCCAAUGUGGCUGUUUGGGGAUCUCUGUUAGCAGCCUGUUGGAUGCAUGGUGAUCUUGAGCUCGGUGCAUUUUCUGCGAGGAAAAUUUUGGAGUUGGAUCCCAAUCACAAUGGAGCAUACGUGUUUUUAUCGAACAUGCACGCAAAAUCUGGUAACUGGAACAAUGCUCGAGAGGUGAGGGGGGUAACGGGAGGCCAUAGGGUUUCAGAAGAAACAGGCUGCAGUCGGGUAGAGCUGAAUGGGUUUGUGCACGAUUUUGGAGAUGGAGGUGAGAAACAUCAGGAAAAUCAUAGGACCCUUCUAAAGCUUAGUGGGAUAAUUUCUAAUUGAUGAUUCAUGGCUGUGCUAUUCUGCUGCUCAGCGAGAAUCUCCCUUUAUGUUAGCCUGGUAGAUUUCUGAAAGGGGAUCUUCAUUUUGCAUAUCUAUAUUUUAUAGACUUACAGGUGGUCAGUGGGCAACAAUGAUCUCAUAUUUAUGGCUGCAUCAGCUGUAGGAAUUCGUUAUUUAAUCAAAUCUGAACAACAAGUCAGCUGGCUAAUUUUGUUUUUUCAUGGAUUGAGCUAUCAUAUUUUCCUCCUGCCAUAUAUUCAGAUGAGAUAAUUGGUGUGGUUCCGCGCGAAAAAACUCCCUCUGUCAGGCUGAAGAUAGUCCACUGUGCAGUAGAAGCUGCAAUUUAUGUGUGUGUAUCGUCGUUGGUAAUGGGUCUUUCAGUUGUGUGAGCUGCCAGAACCUUUCUUAAGAACAUUGAAUCCAGAAGCACGGGUAUUUCACGGGACAGCAGUAGUCGGACAACAUUCCACAGCUCUCCACCGUUGUAACAUAUUCUGGCAACACCUCACUUCUAAAAAUCAUGGGCUUAUUCAGGAUUAUUGGGUGAGAAAAGUAGCAAACAGAUUGCCCUUGGGGUGUGUCGCCGACCUGGCGAGUUCUUGUGCAAGGAAGAGAUGCCCUCAAGUUGGGUUUAGUAAGAAGAGUUGGUAAUGGAUGCACAACCGAAGUUUGUCAUGAUAAAUGGAUUGUGCGGAAGCAUCUCUGAAACCUACGAGGUGUUUAACUGAAACACCGGUUCAGUUUGUUUCUGAUUUGAUAGAGGAAGGGUCAAAUCAAUGGAAUGAACAGCUAGUACGAGAGGUAUCUAUGCCUCCUCAUGCUGAUCUCAUUCUCCCAACUACCAUGACCGCUGCGAGACAUUGAUGAUUUUCGGGCAUGGGUGUGGGAAAAAUCUGGUAUUUUCUCAGUGAGACCAGUGUCCGACAACUGUUGGAUAAUGAACAGCGUGAACAACGGCCGUCCAGUUCGUCAUGUGGGGAAGAUGUUUGGAGUGCUGACUGUGGUAAUGACAAUGAGCUCUGUUCCAUUCUCUGGUUAGGGGGUGCUCAUGCCAAGCUGUUUUGGAAUGCAGCGUUAGAGUUUUUCGAUUUAAAGCCCCCGCAUCUGCACCCAGUCAUUUAGGCCAAGGAUAUUUUGGACUUGGGCAAUGGUUAAUAAGAAGGAUGCAGCGGUUAUUGUCUCUGUUAUGUGGGCGAUUUGGAGCGGCUGGAAUAACUACACGCAUGAGGCGGUUCAUUAUCAACCGCUGCGAUCCAUGCAUCUGGUGGAGGAAUUCGUGAAGGCUCUGGAAGUGCCGCAGCAGGAGAAAAUAGUGAUGGAAGAUCGGAGAGAGAGCUGGAGGCCUUCUAUUUACAGUGGGCUAAAAUCAAUACUGAUGGUUCCCUGGACGCUGAGCGUGGUGUGGCUGGAGCAGGUUUCAUGGCACGCAAUCAUGAGGGAGUGUUUGUAGCAGCAAGGCUGAGGUAAUAUAACAAUAUCAGGGACCCCUUUCACCAUUGCCGUGAUGCUUGCUCUGGGACAGGGUUUCUGAACGUGCAGAUUGAGACUGACUGCCUUGCUGUUUUAACGAUGUGGCAGCAGGGUCAGAAAUCUGAGGUCAUUCUAUUGAUCCAAGAUAUGGAGGAGUAUGCUGAGGCUUUUCAGGAGCUUGAGCCGAUCUUUGUGAGGAGAGAAGCAAAUCAAGCGGCACACACCCAUGCAAAAGAACUUCUGAGUAUUGAGUCUGUGUCUGUAGACUCUGAUGUAGCUCCUGGCUUUCUGAAUGACAUUGUAAUUUGUAAAUGCAGAACUCAUUUUGACAGAGAGGAAUAACAUGCCCAUGGCGAUUAUUUCAAAAA